AUUUAUAUAGUUUACUAAAAACAUUACAUUUUCAAUGUAAAAAUAAAAUUUUAAUUUUUAUAAAUA
rnacentral:tRNA from 2 species